rnacentral:rRNA from 1 species
UACGUAGGGGGCAAGCGUUGUCCGGAAUCAUUGGGCGUAAAGCGCGUGUAGGCGGCCCGAUAAGUCCGCUGUGAAAGUCCAGGGCUCAACCCUGGGAUGCCGGUGGAUACUGUCGGGCUCGAGUCCGGAAGAGGAGUGUGGAAUUCCUGGUGUAGCGGUGAAAUGCGCAGAUAUCAGGAGGAACACCGGUGGCGAAGGCGGUUCUCUGGGCCUGUACUGACGCUGAGGAGCGAAAGCGUGGGGAGCGAACAGG